CCUAACCAGCCUUCAGUCUGAAAGUGCCUGAUCUCGUCACAUCUCAGAAGUCAUGCAGACUUGGGCAUGCCAAGUACUUGUUUGGAGACCAACCAGGAACCUCAGGUGCCGUAAGCU